UCCCCUAGUAACGGCGAGUGAAGCGGGAAGAGCUCAAAUUUGAAAUCUAGUAGCCUUCGGCUGCUCGAGUUGUAAUCUAUAGAAGUGUUUUCCGUGCUGGCUCAUGUACAAGUCCCUUGGAACAGGGCGUCAUAGAGGGUGAGAAUCCCGUACUUGACAUGAAUCACCAGUGCUCUGUGAUACACUUUCAAAGAGUCGAGUUGUUUGGGAACGCAGCUCAAAAUGGGUGGUAAAUUCCAUCUAAAGCUAAAUAUUGGCGAGAGACCGAUAGCGAACAAGUACCGUGAGGGAAAGAUGAAAAGCACUUUGGAAAGAGAGUUAAACAGCAUGUGAAAUUGUUAAAAGGGAAACGAUUGAAGUCAAUCAUGUCCUUGGGUCUUACCACCCUUGGAUGGGGUCAACAUCAGUUUUGAUCGGUGGAUAAGGAUAGGAGGAAGGUAGCACUCUCGGGUGAACUUAUAGCCUCCUGUCGCAUACACUGGUUGAGACUGAGGUCUGCUAU
rnacentral:rRNA from 1 species